rnacentral:ncRNA from 2 species
AUCAGAAAAGAGGGGUGCCUUAAUAAAACAGGCUGAGAAUUUACCCAUAGAACCUGCUCCGGAUAAUGCCGGCGAAGGGAUUAGGAAAACUUUAAUU